rnacentral:rRNA from 1 species
AUUGAACGCUGGCGGCAGGCUUAACACAUGCAAGUCGAGCGGAAACGAUGUAGCUUGCUACCGGCGUCGAGCGGCGGACGGGUGAGUAACGCGUAGGAAUCUGCCUAGUAGUGGGGGACAACAUGUGGAAACGCAUGCUAAUACCGCAUACGCCCUACGGGGGAAAGGAGGGGAUCUUCGGACCUUUCGCUAUUAGAUGAGCCUGCGUAAGAUUAGCUAGUUGGUAGGGUAAAGGCCUACCAAGGCGACGAUCUUUAACUGGUCUGAGAGGAUGGCCAGUCACACUGGGACUGAGACACGGCCCAGACUCCUACGGGAGGCAGCAGUGGGGAAUAUUGGACAAUGGGCGCAAGCCUGAUCCAGCCAUGCCGCGUGUGUGAAGAAGGCCUUAGGGUUGUAAAGCACUUUCAGGGGUGAGGAAGGGUGUUUGGUUAAUAUCCAAACAUUUUGACGUUAGCCCCAGAAGAAGCACCGGCUAACUCUGUG